rnacentral:rRNA from 1 species
UGUGAACAGCAGUUGGACACGGGUUAGUCGAUCCUAAGAGAUAGGGUAGUUCCGCUUUAAUGUAGGCGCUUGCGCCUCGCCCUCGAAAGGGAAGCCGGUUAAUAUUCCGGCACCUGGAUGUAGAUUCUCCGCGGCAACGCAACUGAGAGCGGAGACCUUGGCGGGAGCCCCAAGAAGAGUUAUCUUUUCUUCUUAACAGUCUGUCACCCUGAAAUCGGUUUGUCCG